UAGGAAUCCUGGGAAUUGUAGUUUGUUAAGGUGCUGAGGAUUGCAGCUCUGUUAUUAGUAAACUACAAUUCCCUGGACUCUU